rnacentral:rRNA from 1 species
GACAGAGGUGCCGAGCGUUAGGCGGAAUCACUGGGCUUAAAGCGUGUGUAGGCGGGCCGUUAAGUAUCUUGUGAAAUCCCCCGACUCAACCGGGGAAUGGCUGGAUAUACUGGCGGUCUUGAGCAGUCUAGGGGCAGAUGGAACAAGUGGUGGAGCGGUGAAAUGCGUAGAUAUCGUAAGGAAGACCAGUGGCGAAGGCGGGUCUCUGGACCGAAACUGACACUGAAGCGCGAAAGCUAGGGGAGCAAACGGG